rnacentral:rRNA from 1 species
AGAGUUUGAUCCUGGCUCAGAGCGAACGCUGGCGGCAUGCUUAACACAUGCAAGUCGCACGGGCAGGUUUAGGCCUGUCAGUGGCGGACGGGUGAGUAACGCGUAGGGAUCUAUCCCUGGGUGGGGGACAACCGUGGGAAACUACGGCUAAUACCGCAUGACACCUGAGGGUCAAAGGCGCCGGGGGAACCUGGAGGUCG